AGUGAACGCUGGCGGUAGGCCUAACACAUGCAAGUCGAACGGCAGCACAGUAAGAGCUUGCUCUUACGGGUGGCGAGUGGCGGACGGGUGAGGAAUACAUCGGAAUCUACUUUUUCGUGGGGGAUAACGUAGGGAAACUUACGCUAAUACCGCAUACGACCUACGGGUGAAAGCAGGGGAUCUUCGGACCUUGCGCGAUUGAAUGAGCCGAUGUCGGAUUAGCUAGUUGGCGGGGUAAAGGCCCACCAAGGCGACGAUCCGUAGCUGGUCUGAGAGGAUGAUCAGCCACACUGGAACGGAGACACGGUCCAGACUCCUACGGGAGGCAGCAGUGGGGAAUAUUGGACAAUGGGCGCAAGCCUGAUCCAGCCAUACCGCGUGAGUGAAGAAGGCCUUCGGGUUGUAAAGCCCUUUUGUUGGGAAAGAAAAGCAGCAGGUUAAUACCCCGCUGUUCUGACGGUACCCAAAGAAUAAGCACCGGCUAACUUCGUG
rnacentral:rRNA from 1 species